GCCCCAGUAGCUCAGUAGGAUAGAGCAACCGCCUUCUAAGCGGUAGGUCGGGGGUUCGAAUCCCUCUUGGGGUGCCA
rnacentral:tRNA from 1 species